GAAUAGGGAGAUCUAAGGUUUUUAUUAUUAUAGUUAUUAAAUUUACUAUUGCAUAUAUUAAAUGGAAAAAAAACCUUAGAAGUGAAAAGCUUUCAAUUUCUAUUAUAUCUGGAUUAAAGUUAAAUGUAUUUAGUACAGUAGCCAUAGUGAAUUUAAGAGUGUUAAGAUUUUUAAAAAGGAGAAAGAUUUAUUUUUUUAUUUUAAAAGAUUAAAAUUAAGUUUUUGUUUUAAAGUAAAAUUUAUAUAAUUUAUAAUUUUCUUUGAUAAUUUUUUAUUCACUAUAAUUAAAAUAUAAAUAAAUAAUGUUUAAAUAAGUAUUGACAAAAAAAUUUUUGAAAGGAACUUGGCAAAUUAUUUAUUCGACUGUUUAACAAAAACAUAGCCUUAAAGAAAUUUAUAUAAGGUGAAUCCUGCCCAGUGAAUUUUUUUUUAACGGCCGCAGUACCUUGACUGUGCUAAGGUAGCAUAAUAAAUUGGCUUUUAAAUGAAGUCUUGAAUCAAUGGGUUUUCGAAUAGUAGCUAUCUUUUUAAAGAAAACAAAAAAUUACUUACAAAAGGUGAAAAUCCCUUUAAAAGCUAUAUAGACAAGAAGACCCUUAGAGUUUUUAAAAAUUUAAUUUUAUUUUUUGUUGGGGCAACAAAGUAACAUUUAAUUUACUUAAGAUUACAAGUCCUUUUAAAGAAAGAAUAAACUACCUAAGGGAUAACAGCAUAAUAUUUUUCUUGUUUGUGACCUCGAUGUUGGAUUAGGGAAUUAAAUAAUUAAACGUUAUUUAAUAUUUUUCUGUUCGAAAAUUUUCUCCUACAUGAUCUGAGUUCAGACCGGCGUAAGCCAGGUCAG
rnacentral:rRNA from 1 species